AUUGAACGCUGGCGGCAGGCCUAACACAUGCAAGUCGAACGAGUGGCGGACGGGUGAGUAAUGUCUGGGAAACUGCCUGAUGGAGGGGGAUAACUACUGGAAACGGUAGCUAAUACCGCAUACCAUCAGAUGUGCCCAGAUGGGAUGAGAUGGUUGGUGGGGUAACGGCUCACCAAGGCGACGAUCCCUAGCUGGUCUGAUAGGAUGACCAGCCACACGGGAACGGGGACGCGGUCCAGGCUCCAACGGGAGGCGGCAGUGGGGAAUAUUGCACAAUGGGGGCAGCCCUGAUGCAGCCAUGCCGCGUGUAGGGAGGAGGCCUUCGGGUUGUAGAGGACUUUCAGGGGGUAGGGGUUGCCCGCAGAAGAAGCACCGACUAACUCCGUGCCAGCAGCCGCGGUAAUUC
rnacentral:rRNA from 1 species